AUGUACCACCAGCAGUUUGAGAUACUUGAUGAGGCAGAAGUCACAUGGAACCCGUGGAUUCAGGACCAGCUAAAAAUGGUCUUUGAUGCUCGACACUUCACACCAGGCAUGUUGACCGAUAGUGCAUUCUGGCUGACUCGCUGCAACUUAUUGUUCCUGUGGUGUGUUGAACCUUACAACCCAGAGCGUGUAAUGAGACAGUUCGGUCUCUAUCAAAAAAUUCCACCACCUUUUCCCAGACGUAUCGACGAGGAAACACAUAAGCUAAAAAAUAUGGGCAGUGGUUGGAGUUUAUACGAUUGGAGGGAAGAAAAGAGUGAAUGGGUACACAAGUGA
rnacentral:rRNA from 1 species